rnacentral:rRNA from 1 species
GACGAACGCUGGCGGCGUGCUUAACACAUGCAAGUCGAACGGAGUGGCGAACGGGUGAGUAACACGUGGGUGAUCUGCCUUGCACUUCGGGAUAAGCUUGGGAAACUGGGUCUAAUACCGGAUAGUGCAAGAUGAGCUCGCGGCCUGUCAGCUUGUUGGUGGGGUAAUUGCCUACCAAGGCGUCGAAGGGUAGCCGGCCUGAGAGGGUGUACGGCGACAGUGGGACUGGGCGAGGGACCAGACUCGUACGGGAGGCAGCAGGGGGGAAUAUUGCACAAUGGGCGGAAGCGUGAUGAAGCGACGCGGCGUGGGGGAUGAAGGCCUUCGGGUUGUGAACUCCUUUCGACAGGGACGCGGUACCCGUAUAAGAAGCACCGGCUAACUACGUGCCAGCAGCCGCGGUAAUAC